UGGGGUGUGGCUCAGUGGUAGAGCACUUGCCUAGCACGUAGGAGGCCACAGUCUCAAGCCCAGCACCGCAA
rnacentral:tRNA from 1 species